rnacentral:rRNA from 1 species
GAUGAACGCUGACAGAAUGCUUAACACAUGCAAGUCUACUUGAUUCUACUUCGGUAGUUGAUGGUGGCGGACGGGUGAGUAACGCGUAAAGAAUCUGCCCUUUAGUUUGGGAUAGCCUUUGGAAACGGAGGCUAAUACCGGAUAUUAUGGAGACGUCGCAUGACGACUUCAUGAAAGCUAUAUGCGCUAGAGGAGGACUUUGCGUCCCAUUAGUUAGUUGGUGAGGUAAUGGCUCACCAAGACCGAGAUGGGUAGCCGGCCUGAGAGGGUGAUCGGCCACAAGGGAACUGAGACACGGUCCUUACUCCUACGGGAGGCAGCAGUGGGGAAUAUUGGACAAUGGGCCACAAGCCUGAUCCAGCAAUUCUGUGUGCACGAUGAAGGUCUUCGGAUUGUAAAGUGCUUUCAGUAGGGAAGAAAAAAAUGACGGUACCUACAGAAGAAGCGACGGCUAAAUAUGUGCCAGCAGCCGCAGUAA